UACGUAGGUGACAAGCGUUGUCCGGAUUUAUUGGGCGUAAAGAGCUCGUAGGCGGCUUGUCGCGUCGACUGUGAAAACCCGCGGCUCAACUGCGGGCCUGCAGCCGAUACGGGCAGGCUAGAGUUCGGUAGGGGAGACUGGAAUUCCUGGUGUAGCGGUGAAAUGCGCAGAUAUCAGGAGGAACACCAAUGGCGAAGGCAGAUCUCUGGGCCGUAACUGACGCUGAGGAGCGAAAGCAUGGGGAGCGAACAGG
rnacentral:rRNA from 1 species